GACGAACGCUGGCGGCGUGCUUAACACAUGCAAGUCGAACGGUAAGGCCCUUCGGGGUACACGAGUGGCGAACGGGUGAGUAACACGUGGGUGAUCUGCCCUGCACUUCGGGAUAAGCCUGGGAAACUGGGUCUCAUACCGGAUAGGACCACUGCCUGCAUGGGUGGGGGUGGACAGCUUUUGCGGUGUGGGAUGGGCCCGCGGCCUAUCAGCUUGUUGGUGGGGUAAUUGCCUACCAAGGCGACGACGGGUAGCCGGCCUGAGAGGGUGACCGGUCACACUGGGACUGAGAUACGGCCCAGACUCCUACGGGAGGCAGCAGUGGGGAAUAUUGCACAAUGGGCGCAAGCCUGAUGCAGCGACGCCGCGUGAGGGAUGACGGCCUUCGGGUUGUAAACCUCUUUCAGCUAUGACGAAGCGCAAGUGACGGUAGUAGCAGAAGAAGGACCGGCCAACUACGUGCCAGCCGCCGCGGUAA
rnacentral:rRNA from 1 species